CAAAUGCGACUCACGCGAUGUGAGGUCUUGGAGAAAAAGAUUCCGCGACGGACGGUAGAAGCAAAGGGGGUGUCGUUUUCCAUCCGGCGCCGCUGCGGAUAGGAAACCAUCAAUCGCGUCGCUGCUUCUCUCUCCAUCAUCGCUAGAUCGAAGAAGAAGUGUCAUGCAAGGCACCAGAAGUAAAGGCAAUGUGGCAAAAGAACCUUACAUGGGUUCAAAAGAUGGUACCGAACGCCUCACAGCCUUGGCUGUCCUCACUCGUGGGUGCGAGCCGUUCGAAAACGACCCUACUGGAUUGUCAUUGAUUGAAUGCAGACAAAUGAUGAGUGGCGAUCCAUAUGUUGGCAUGGAAUUUGAAUCCGAGGAGGCCUCAACAGAAUUUUAUUGUGAAUAUGCUACACGCGUGGGCUUUUGCAUCCGCACCAAUUUGAGGCGUCGUUCAAGGCGCGAUGGAAGCACCAUUGGCCUGGAAUUUGUGUGUUCUAGAGAAGGUUUCCGCACGAAGAAAUGCCCAAGUAAGCGGCCGGAAUCUAGGAAAGGCUGCAAGGCAAGGAUUAGAAUAAAGAAGACAGAGUCUGGGAAAUGGGCUGUUGUAAAAUUUAUUAAAGACCAUAAUCAUGCAUUAGAUACUCCUAGAGACUUGCCUCGCCUUCGCUCACAUAGGCAAGGUUCCAAUAAGCCCAGUGGAUCAAACAACAUUGAAUUCCCUCUGCGAGACAGCACAAGCUACAUUAGAUUUCUCCGAAGGAGGGUAAGUGGAAAAGAUGUUGAGACUGAUGCAAUGAUAGAAAGUCUCACUGGAAAGCCAUCUGAUCAAGAUGAGGAAACUGCAAAUCCGGAUCCAGAAGUGGGUAUGGAGUUUGAAUCUGAGGAGGCCGCGACGCUAUUCUAUUGUGAAUAUGCCAGGCGUGUGGGUUUCAGCAUCCGUACCAGUUUAAGACGCCGCUCAAGGCGCAGUGGGACCACCAUCGGCCUGAAAUUUGUAUGCUCGAAAGAGGGUUUUCGUCGUCAGAAAAGUACAAGCGCACGGCGCGAAACUAGGCAAGGUUGCAAGGCUAUGAUUAAGAUGAAGAGGGCAGAAGCUGGGAAAUGGAUUAUUUCGGACAUUAUGAAGGAACACAAUCAUGCAUUUGCAGUUGCAAAAAAAGUGCCUCUCCUCCAAUCACAUGGACCUUCAUCCAACCAAUCUGGGGAACAUGGUGGUGCCAAUUCGCAAGAGCGUGCGAACUAUAUUCAGAACCUUCGAGAGAAGACCCUGGGAAGAGAUGCUCAGUAUGUGAUAGAAUAUUUCAAGCAUAUGCAAGCGAAAAAUGCUUCCUUUUUUCAUGCGAUUCAAGUUGAUAAAGAGUAUCGUAUGACUAAUUUCUUCUGGGCCGAUGCUAGGGCAAGGAUGGCCUACAAUUACUUUGGUGAUGUGGUCACGCUUGACACCACGUACAGGACAAAUCAAUAUGGAAUUCCGUUUGCUCUUUUCACAGGGGUUAACCAUCAUAAACAACCGGUCCUAUUUGGUUGUGCGCUGCUGCUUGACGAAUCUGAAGCUUCGUUUGUUUGGUUGUUCAAUACAUGGGUUGAAGCAAUGUCUGGACAACAUCCAUUCUCACUCAUUACCGAUCAAGAUCCAGUCAUAGAGGCAGCUGUUGUGAAGGUAUUCCCCAGAACCCGUCACCGCUUUUGCAAGCGGAACAUCCUAAGAAAGUUUUCGGAGAGAUCGAGUCAUUUGGAACAGAAUCAAGAUUUCGUAGCCGAUUUUGCUAAAUGCAUUAAUUUGACUGAGUUAAAUGAUGAGUUUGAAUCAUGUUGGAAGUCACUCAUUGAUAAAUACGAACUCAGCGACAAUGAAUGGCUUCAAUUACUAUACAAAAGUCGUGAUAAAUGGGUCCAAGUCUACUUACAGGACACUUCCUUUGUGAAUAUUUCUCUUACCCGACAAAGCGCAGGUAUAAACUCAUUCUUUGACGGGUACAUGAAUGCACACACCUCCCUGCAAGCAUUCAUUAAUCAGUGCGAAAAAUUCAUAGAUAGUCAGUACGAAAUGGAACUCGAAGAUGAUUUUAAGACAAGCUACACGAAACCGAUAAUGAAGACAGGAUUGCCUCUGGAGAGCCAAGCGGCAGAAAUUUAUACAAGAACAAUAUUCUUGGAAUUUCAGGAGCAAUUAUUCCAGAGUCUUCACCAUAUUGCAGAAAUAACUAAGGAGGAUGGGCCGAUUAGCACUCUAAGGGUGGUAGAAUUUGGGGCCGAGAAGAGGCCAUACACAGUUAAAUUUGAUGUUACGGAAGAGAGGGCAAGUUGUAGCUGCAAAAUGUUUGAGUAUGCCGGCAUUCUUUGUAGACAUGUUCUAAGAGUCUUCUCUAUGAAAAACAUCACGCUGCUCCCAUCUUGUUACAUUUUGAAAAGGUGGACGAAAAACCCCAUGAGCAUAGUCACAUUCGAUGAAGACGAAGCCGAGAUACAAGUUGAUUGUCAAGAAUCUUGGAUGUCGCGAUACAAUGAUCUAUGCCGUCAGGCCAUUAAAUAUGCUGGGGAAGCAGCGACAACCAUAAAUAUUUACAAUGUAGCGAUGCGUGCUCUACGGAAGGCAUUUGAAGAAGUUGAUGCUGCAAAACUAGAUGAUGGGAUACUCAUGGACCCCAGCUUUCCAGUUGAUGGCAGCACUUGCAAAGAUGGUAUUUGCGAAGGCAAUCUACCAGAUCAGCCGAUGGGCGACAUGAGUUCAUCUGAGCCUAGAAAUGGGAAAGCAAAAAGAGGUCUUGAACCUGCACGGGACGAGCAACGGAAGAAGAAAAGAAAAUGUCAGAUCUGCCAGCAUCCGGAUCAUGACAAGCGCAAAUGUCCAUAUUCAAGGGGUGUAGGAGCCAAUUCUAACGCUGCUGAUGCCAUACUCGAAAGCCAGCUACAUGGUGGGCUAACUGGCGAUCAACUUGGGUUUUCCGUUGAAAUUCCUGUUCCAGCGGGUGACAGUCGUUUCCUUCGAUAUAUAUGAUCUUGCCUCAAAUCCUUGAUCUUUGUGCCCGACUAAUUCCCAGGUUUCCAGUGGGACUAGUUUCUAAGAUACAUAUGCUCUUCUGAACUUGUCAUGUGAUCAGUCACACAUCAUAAAACCAACAAGGCCAACCUUGCCGAUUAUCCAAAUUGAGCAGAAGUGCCAAUUAGUAUCUCUAUAUUUACCCAAUUUGAUAGAGUUUGUUAAAGAAAACAGACAAAAAAAAAAGCACUCUGUUUGGUUUGCUUUUCAUGGUGUCAAUCUAUGAUUCUAUAAACACCAGCAAUUUUAUGGCAUUUUCCUAGAAAUGGGCUCAUAACUUGUUUCCAGCUACACUCUGAAUCUAAUCUAAUGCAAGUGAGUUGGCUGUUCUUCUUCACUUUCCUUCCUUCUGCUACCAUCUUUCUGUUGAUUGAUGCCUUUGCAGCUCUGAGAACAUUAGAUAUGCUAUUGCUGAUUGGUUCAAAUUCUGAAAGUCGAUUAGAAAUUAUCAUCUCCAUGUUUGCUUCUUCUUCUUCUUCUUUUUUUU